rnacentral:rRNA from 1 species
UACGUAGGGGCUAGCGUUGUCCGGAUUUAUUGGGCGUAAAGAGCGUGUAGGCGGCCAGGUAGGUCCGCUGUGAAAGUCCGAGGCUCAACCUCGGAAUGUCGGCGGAAACCCUCUGGCUAGAGUCCGGAAGAGGAGAGUGGAAUUCCCGGUGUAGCGGUGAAAUGCGCAGAUAUCGGGAAGAACACCCGUGGCGAAGGCGGCUCUCUGGAACGGUACUGACGCUGAGACGCG